rnacentral:rRNA from 3 species
GUAGGUGAACCUGCGGUAGAAUCAUUG